rnacentral:ncRNA from 2 species
UAUAUAAUGAAUGUGUCAGGUGCUCUUUUGAGGUAAAAGGGAAAGUGGUGAAAAUCCACUGCUGUCAAGCAACUGUAAGCGGAUACGAAUGCCUUAUACCACCCGUAAAAGGGGAAGGUGGCAGGAGGUUUAAGCCGCAAGCCAGGAAACCUGCCUGAUAACGGAACCUGCU